UACGUAGGGGCCUAGCGUUGUCCGGAAUUACUGGGCGUAAAGCGUGCGCAGGCGGUUUUGUAAGCCAGAUGUGAAAUCCCCGGGCUUAACCUGGGAAUGGCAUUUGGGACUGCAAGGCUCGAGUGCGGCAGAGGAGACUGGAAUUCCUGGUGUAGCAGUGAAAUGCGUAGAUAUCAGGAGGAACACCGAUGGCGAAGGCAGGUCUCUGGGCUGACACUGACGCUCAUGCACGAAAGCGUGGGGAGCAAACAGG
rnacentral:rRNA from 1 species